rnacentral:rRNA from 1 species
GCUACGGGAGGCAGCAGUGAGGAAUAUUGGUCAAUGGACGCAAGUCUGAACCAGCCAUGCCGCGUGCAGGAAGACGGCUCUAUGAGUUGUAAACUGCUUUUGUACGAGGGUAAACGCAGAUACGCGUAUCUGUCUGAAAGUAUCGUACGAAUAAGGAUCGGCUAACUCCGUGCCAGCAGCCGCGGUAAUACGGAGGAUUCAAGCGUUAUCCGGAUUUAAUGGGUUUAAAGGGUGCGUAGGCGGUCGGAUAAGUUAGAGGUGAAAUCCCGAGGCUCAACUUCGGAAUUGCCUCUGAUACUGUUCGGCUAGAGAGUAGUUGCGGUAGGCGGAAUGUAUGGUGUAGCGGUGAAAUGCUUAGAGAUCAUACAGAACACCGAUUGCGAAGGCAGCUUACCAAGCUACUUCUGACGUUGAGGCACGAAAGCGUGGGGAGCAAACAGGAUUAGAUACCCCAGUAGUC